AGAUGUGUGUGAGAGCACGGAGCCUAGAUGUGUGUGAGACCACGGAGCCUAGAUGUGUGUGAGAUGUGUGUGAGAGCACAGAGUCUAGAUGUGUGUGAGAGCACAGAGUCUAGAUGUGUGUGAGAUCACAGAGUCUAGAUGUGUGUGAGAGCACAGAGCCUAGAUGUGUGUGAGAGCACAGAGUCUAGAUGUGUGUGAGAUGUGUGUGAGAGCACAGAGUCUAGAUGUGUGUGAGAUGUGUGUGAGAGCACAGAGUCUAGAUGUGUGUGAGAGCACAGAGUCUAGAUGUGUGUGAGAGCACAGAGCCUAUAUGUGUGUGAGAGCACAGAGCCUAGAUGUGUGUGAGAGCACGGAGCCUAGAUGUGUGUGAGAUGUGUGUGAGAGCACAGAGUCUAGAUGUGUGUGAGAGCACGGAGCCUGCCUGUGUUGUUGGCUGUGUCCCAGUGGUGGUUGUUUAUGAUGCCAUUCGUCUGUAUUACGAGCACUGCCAAGCCUGAUUGGUGUAAACAGACCCCAUUGGGUUUUUUUGCGUUUUGCUUCACAGCCAGAAAGAGAGAGAAAAAACUCACAACUUUUCCUUUGUCCUCAGGUAUGUUUACAUUGUAAUGCAAUACUCAUAACCCACUUGGCAGAUGAGUGAAAUUGUAAAGUGAAAAACUAUGAAAAGUGAAAAACUGUGUCACCACAUUUUGUUUGAUUAGGAAAUUCUACUCUAAAAACAGGCAAAGUUGUCUGUCUCUGUCCCUGCUCAUUCCAAUUGACUGCAGAAAGCUUAAGUUGACAGCAGCGCUCUGUAACAGAAGCAGGUGUGUGUGUGUGUGUUAGUGUUGUGUGUGUGUGUGUGUGUGUAUGUGUGUGUGUGUGUCAGGAGGUCUGGGCGGGCCGUUGCCUUUGAUUUCAGUGCCACUCAGAAGCACCACAAGCCUUUCUGUGACAUCAUCAGUGACAUCAUCAGUGCUUUAACCACUUCCCUCAGUCCCCAGGAGAAAGCAACACCUGACACACCCAACCCACCCUCCACCCCUACACACACACACACACACACACACACACACAAUCCACCCCCCACCCCUACACACACACACACACACAAACACACACACACACACACAACCCACCCCUACACACACACACACACACACACACACACACACACACACACAACCCAACCAUACACACACACACACACACACAAUCCACCCCCCACCCCUACACACAGACACACACACACAUACAACCCACCCCUACACACACACACACACACACACACACACAACCCACCCCGACCCAACCCUACACACACAUACACACACACACACACACACACACACACAUAAACAACCCACCCCCCACCCCUACAAACACACACACACACAAACACUCUCUCUCACUCACACACACAUACACACACACACACACACACACACACACACACACACACACACUCUAACACUUUCUCUCAUUCACACACUCACACUCACUCACACACACACACACACACAACGUAAAGGAAAAGAAACACAGACACCCAUUAAACUGCUCUGCCGUGGAAUUUGUGGGGUUCAGUUGCUGUGAGAUUUAUCUUGCUAUGUGAGUGUGUGUGUGUGUGUGUGUGUCCAAAUAUGACACAGAAGGUGUGGGUGUUGGGAUGAGUUUGGGUCUUUUUGCUUGUUUGUUUGUUUGUCUGUUUUUUUGUUGGUAGGUUGGUUUGUUUUUAUUUGCGCCGACGCCUGGAUGCCAGGGCGCUGUCCUUCUGUGAGUGUCUCUCCUGGCCAAGGAUGUCCACUUGCCCCCCCCCCCCCCAACCCCCCCGCCUGUCUCUACUUUAUACACCACGGCCCUCUCUUCCUCACGGCCCUCCUCCUCUUCCUCCUUUCUAUGUGACAAGCUUAUGG
ensembl:lncRNA